CCUACGGGCGGCAGCAGUCGAGAAUCAUUCACAAUGGGGGAAACCCUGAUGGUGCGACGCCGCGUGGGGGAAUGAAGGUCUUCGGAUUGUAAACCCCUGUCAUGUGGGAGCAAAUUAAAAAGAUAGUACCACAAGAGGAAGAGACGGCUAACUCUGUGCCAGCAGCCGCGGUAAUACAGAGGUCUCAAGCGUUGUUCGGAAUCACUGGGCGUAAAGCGUGCGGAGGCUGUUUCGUAAGUCGUGUGUGAAAGGCGCGGGCUCAACCCGCGGACGGCACAUGAUACUGCGAGACUAGAGUGAUGGAGAGGGAACCGGAAUUCUCGGUGUAGCAGUGAAAUGCGUAGAUAUCGAGAGGAACACUCGUGGCGAAGGCGGGUUCCUGGACAUUAACUGACGCUGAGGCACGAAGGCCAGGGGAGCGAAAGGGAUUAGAUACCCUGGUAGUC
rnacentral:rRNA from 1 species